GUCCUGAAGUUUUAGGGCUUAACACAAUAAAAAUAAUUAUUUUCAUUCAAGUCCAAGUUUGUUUCAGUUAGAGGCUGUGGGGCAGCUGGACAAACGGUAGGCAUUCAGGGAUCUAGUAACCAUCUUCAACACCUGCAAAGGACACUUUGGACAAAGAAGAUAGAAGGAAAGUGUGUAGACCAUACAGCUCUACUGGUCUUAACCCAGGAGUGAUACAUCAUUUACACUUACAGUCCAUCAGCCAGAGUUAGUCCUCACACCCCUGCCUGGAUGCAAGGGCCUUGGAGAUGCAGUUUGUGUCUAAACCCAAGAGAGAAGUGGUUUGGGUGACCAUCCAGUCAGUCUCUGCCAUGGGAAUGAAGCAAGUGAGUCUCAAGUCUAAAGAUGGGUCAGUUGUUCUGGGGACUGGCAACCGGGUACUGGAGAGAGAGUCUAGCACACAGAACUGAGGUAGUGAGGGAUGCUUCGAGAUUCCCAAAGCCAAGCUGCAUCUUAGUCUUCAGAGGUGCUUCCCAACCUAUUCAUCUCCCAGUACCUGUGGAAAAUGAUCAUUUGUGUUCUAUGUGUGAGAUACGAAUGAGGCUAUUCAAGGCCAGGGGUGGGAGUUCCAGGGCUCUAACCUCUCCAGGGGGCCACGUGACCACCGUGAAGGCUGAGGAGGAACAUAUACUGACGACCUGUUUGCAACAUAGUUGUGAGCUGCCGCUCAGGGCGCAAAGUUGUGGUCCAGAGAACGAAGCAGGUGACGUACACCAGGAGUGUAUUCUGUGAUGAUCAAAACCUACUGCUGCCAUCAUGGGCUACGACCCACAAGAAGGGAACCAGGACUAUAAAAACCUGGGGAAGCAGAAUUGUCGUGAAGGCUCUGAGGAUGCUCAGGUGCUGGGACCACAGACUUUGCCCUUAUCUGGAAGCCGCAUUCAGAAUGGGAGAGUCCCUCCUGGCGAGCAGGAUUAGCAAGUUGGACUAUCAAUUAUGUUAUAUUUGUAGCCAAAAUAUGAAAGGAACUCAUAAGGCCCAGUAGCAUGAGAACAAUCCAAUUUAAAAGUGGUCAGAGGAACUACAUAGAGACUUUCCUAAAGAAGACAAAUGGCUAAUGAGUACACGAAAUGGGGCUCAACAUCACUAAUCAGGGAAAUGCAAGUCAAACCCACAACUAGUUAUCUCCUCACAACUGUUAGAUUGCUGCUAAGUUACUUCAUUCGUGUCCGACUCUGUGCAACCCCAUAGAUGGCAGCCCACCAGGCUCCCCCGUCCCUGGGAUUCUCCAGGCAAGAACGCUGGAGUGGGUUGCCAUUUCCUUCUCCAAUGCAGGAAAGUGAAAAGUGAAAGUGAAGUCGCUCAGUUGCGUCCAACUCUUAGCAACUCCAUGGACUGCAGCCUACCAGGCUCCUCCGUCCAUGGGAUUUUCCAGGCAGUACUGGAGUGGGGUGCCACUGCCUUCUCCAAACUGUUAGACUGGCUGUCACCAAAUAGACAAGAGAUAGUAGUAUUGGCGAGGCUGUGGAGAAAAGGGAACCCUUGUGCAGUGUUAGUAAGAAUGUAAAAUGGUUCAGUCACUGUGGAAAACAAUAGUGAGGUUCUUCAGAAAAAUUAAAAAUAUAAUUACCAUAUGAUUCCGUAAUUCCAACUGUGAGUAUAUAUUUAAAGGGGAUGAAAACAGGGUAUCAAAUGAGAUAACUACAGCCCCAUGUUCAUAGCAGCACUAUUUACAAUAGCCAAGACAUGGAAGCAACCUAAAUGUCCAGACAGAUGAAUGGAUAGAGAUGUAACAUAUUAUCCAGCUCUCAGAAAGAAAGAAAUCAUGCCAUUUGUGAAUGGAUCUUGAGGGUAUUAUGCUAAGUGAAAUAAGGCAGAAAGAGAAAGACAAAUACUCCAAAGUAUCACUUAUACCUGGAAUCUUAAAAAAACACACACACAAAAACUAACUCCUAGACAGAGUAAAACAGUGGUUGCCAGAGGCUGGGGGGUUGGGGAAUAGAGAGAUGUUGAUAAAAAGGGUACAAAGUUUCAGAUGUGUGAUGAACAAGGUCUGAGGAUCUAACUUCAAACAUGGUGACUAUAGUUGACAACACUGUAU
ensembl:lncRNA